UCAUUGAUCCUCCGUGCCCAAUCCUAACAUGACAUCAUGGAUUCAGAUGGCAAACGCAGGCAGGCAGGCAGUCGGGGUGCAGCGCGAGGAGGAAGGAAAAGUAUUAGUGGAGAUUACAUCAUCCACUCGUGCACCUCGCAGCGUAGCAACCACAGAGGUGAAAUCACCCCAGGGAGGAGGAGGAGGAGGAGGAGGAGGAAGAGGAGGCUGGGGGACAAACAAUGAAGUGCCGCGACUGGAGGCUGCAGGUGGAGUAGAUGAGUGUUUGUCUCCGGGCGCCGCAUGUAAACGCCGCACCGUGUGCUCCGUAUUUACAGCAGCGGCUACGUGAUGUAACGUGGAGAAAGCGUUUUGCGGGUGAAUGGGCAGAUCUCCCGAGUGCGCGUGGGCGUGCAAACUGCAGGUAAUAAAAGCCCCUUUGAAGGCAGGAACAGGAACUGUAAAACAAUGAAGACAAUCAAUUAAUGUCCCGCCUUUGGUUUUGACAGGUCCAUAAAUAAAGAGCAGAUGCGCGACACUAACGACUAGAAGGGUCUGUAGUGUCUGUGCACCUCGGCUUGGCCGGCGACACUUUCUUUCAACUAUAUUUUUAUUGAUUUCUUCAUUUUUUCACCUUAACUACAUGGAAACCUGAAGGGAACCUCUCGCUUCACUCGCGUCAGCGCCAACAUUCAACAGGCCGCUGCCGCUCAGACGAACUGAGGUCAAGCAGGAUCUUCACCCGCUUUUAUUCUGAAAUUCUUCUCGGCCCGUUUCCUGAGCUUUGACCCUUUGACUCUGGACGCUUCCGCGUCUUUGUACUAACAGUAAGUGAUCUCUGACCCGUGGCCGAGUUCGACCCCUCUCCACCGCUCUGUGAGGCUGUCGGGGCCUCCCCGGCGUCUCUCACCUCGGAGCCCCUCGCCGAUGCCCAGCGCCAGGCCGUCCUUGGUCCACUGCACGAUGCCGCUGUAGUUGAAGACCACGCAGGACAGCACCACGCGCUCCCCGAGCACCACCGACUGGUCGGCCGGCUCCUGGGAGAAGCGAACGCACCGCACUGCAACAGAAGGACGGAGGAGGAAUCAAUUUUAAAUCCGUCUCACCGUGACCCGGCCAAGAGCUGCCACCUUUUAUCGCACUGUAUCGACCUAUACUGUCCCUGUCUGCUCUUAUCGACUCGUGCUUGUCCAUGUGGAGACUGUUGACCUAAGUUAUUAUGUAUUAUUGUGUAUAUGCUGUUUUUUACCGUGUGUGUUGGAUUAUGAACAUCGACUGAACUCCCUUACGGGGCAAUAAAGGGUUAAACUGA